AUAGGAGAUAGAAUUUUUCUUCUGGUGCUAUAGAGACAGUACCUCAAGGAAAAGAUGAAAGAUAAAGACAGUAAAGAAAAAGCAUAGACUACCCCUACUACUUUUCGUAUACUGAAUUAAUCAGAACCAACCUGGCAAAGUGAACUGAAGUCAACCACGCCGAAACCAAUUGAGCUAUUUCCAAACAGCUAACAGAGAAAACUCAUUUAUGUGGCAAAAUAGAGAAGAUUUUAGAGGCAGAGGUGAAAAGCCAGCUGAGCUUGGUGGUAGCUGGUUAUCCAAAUAAGAAUUUCAGUUCAAUUUUAAGUUCUUCCAAAAUACUCCUUACUCAAAUGAAAGCUUAAAAUUUCAUUUAAAAAGGGAUGGCUCUUUAAAAUAAGGAAACAACCUUCAACAGUGGGUAACAAACAAAAUCAUCAUAGUUGACCCAAAAGCAGCCCUCAAUUAAGAAAGCAUUCAAGCUCAACCCUGAAUUCCAACAAAACCAAAUGAACCCCUGAUUAACAAUUGGAUUAAUCUAUAACUAUAUAGAAGAGAUAAUGUCAAUAUCAGUAACAAGAAUUACUUCUCCCUGCACAAGCUUAAAUCAAACCUGCAUUUGAUCUUUAACAACUUAAUAAGACUCCUCAUUAAUACUCUUAUUAAAAGCAUUUGUUAACCCAACACAGGAGUGCUAUUCAGGAAAGACCAAAAAAGCAAAAGGAACUCAGAAACAUAAAUCCCACCUGUUUACCAAAAAUAUCCCCUCUAGUAUUGCCAGUAUUAGAGGCACUGCCUGCCCAGUGAUGUUAGUUCAACAGCCAUGGUAUCAUGAUGGUGCAAAGGUAGCAUAACCACUUGUUCUUUAAAUAAGGACUCGUAUGAAUGGCUAAACGAGGGUUUAACUGUCUCUUGCUUUAUGUUAGUGAACCUGACCUCCCUGUGAAGAGCCUAGGAGGACCUAAUAAGAUGAGAAGAUUUUAUGGGGCUUUAAUUUAUUAAUUUACUCUACUCACCUUAAGUCCACAAGGACAUAAAGCACAAGACCUAAAUUAAUAAUUUCAGUUGGGGUGACCUCGGAGAAUAACAAGUCCUCUGAAUGAUACUAACCUAGACAUUACAAGUCAAAGUUUAUUACCACCAAUUGACCCAAAAAUCUUUGAUCAAUGGACCUAGGGAUAAGGGUGCAAUCCUGUUUUAGAGUCCAUAUUGACAAUGGGGUUUGUGACCUGGUUUUGGAUCAGGACAUCCUAAUGGUGCAGCAGGUAAUAAGGUUUCAUUUGUUCAGUGAUUAGUAGUGCCAUGUGAUCUGAGUUCAGACUGGAACAAUCCAGGUCAGUUUCUAUCUAUUAAUGACUUCUCCUACUA
rnacentral:rRNA from 1 species